rnacentral:misc_RNA from 1 species
UUACACUGCGUAGUUUAUGCUGAUCGUGAGUGGUGAAACGCGAUCUAAGCUGAAUUCGGUAUUUCUCUUCCUAUUUUAUUAAAAAUCGGACCUCUACGGUUUUCGAUGUCUUCAAAAAGUGCUUAGGCCAAGUCUGGACAAUGGCAGCACACAAGACAGGCGGCCAAAGCGCCCGGAAGAAAGUCCAGGUGUCUAUGGUAAUUAGAGACGAAGUUGAACGUAAGCAUAGAGCUGGCGUAAACUCACUGCAGUAUGAUCCAGUAUCGCACAGACUCUAUUCGGCAGGAAGAGACAGUAUAAUUCGAAUAUGGAACUGCAAAAAUAUAAAAGAACCGUACAUCCAGUCAAUGGAACAUCAUACUGACUGGGUGAACGACAUUGUGUCGUGUUGCGGUGGAAAGAAUUUGAUAUCAGCUAGUUCGGACACAACAGUCAAAGUUUGGAAUGCUCACAAAGGCUUUUGUAUGUCUACAUUGCGUACGCAUAAAGAUUAUGUGAAAGCGCUUGCUUAUGCCAAGGACAGAGAACAGGUGGCCAGUGCCGGAUUGGACAGAGCAAUAUUCCUAUGGGAUGUCAACACUCUCACUGCUCUCACUGCUAGCAACAAUACAGUAACCACAUCCUCGUUAACUGGAAAUAAGGACUCUAUUUACAGCCUGGCGAUGAAUCCUUCUGGGACUGUGAUAGUCAGUGGCAGUACCGAGAAAGUGUUGCGUGUCUGGGAUCCCAGGUCAUGUGCAAAAUUGAUGAAGCUCAGGGGGCAUGCGGAUAAUAUUAAAGCUUUGGUGUUAAACAAAGAUGGUACUCAAUGUCUCUCUGCAAGCUCAGACGGUACCAUAAAAUUAUGGUCUCUUGGCCAACAGUGGUGCAUACAAACUUUCAGGGUACACACGGAAGGCGUUUGGGCUUUACUAGCCACGGAUACAUUCAGUCAUGUGAUAUCUGGAGGAAGAGAUAGAAAAGUAAUAAUGACAGAGCUGAGAGCAACUGAGAAAUGUACUGUUAUAUGUGAGGAAAAUGCUCCGAUCCUUAAAAUGGCUAUGACGCCCGAUCAGACCAGCUUGUGGGUAGCAACAAGUGAAUCUACCAUAAAUAAUUGGACAAUUACUCAAAAAGACUGGCAGUGUGGUGACUAUUGCGAAGACGCAAUGGGGAACGGAGGUGGUUUGAGGACUAUGGGACCACGUAACUCGGACCCUGCACAAAAAAUUAUAGGUGGUGCUGCAGUUAGGCAUUGUCAUGUAUUAAAUGACAGAAGACACGUUUUGACUCGGGACACUGAGGAGAAUGUGGCGCUUUAUGAUGUCUUGAAAGCUGUCAAAGUCGUUGAUCUUGGACGAGUAGACUUUGAGCAGGAAGUGAAGAAGAGAAAUAAGACUGUAUAUGUCCCUAACUGGUUCAAUGUCGACCUCAAAACCGGGAUGCUGACAAUACACUUGGGCCAGGACGAAAAUGACUGUUUUUCUGCAUGGGUGUCUGCAAAAGAAACGAACUUGGCUGACAACGAUGCUGUUGACCAAAAAGUAAACUAUGGAAAUCUACUACUUCAAGCACUUCUGGAGCACUGGUGGAGGCCGUUACAUGGUGAUGAUGAAAAUGAAGGAAAUGGUAAUGACGGGAAUGGUCCAACGCAUACGAGAGGAGGGAAUCCAUAUUUCUCAGUACCUGGACAUACGCCUGUUAUCUUCAGUGAGGUCGGUGGCAGGACUCUGUACAGAUUGCUCGUUCGCGAUGCAGCUGGAGAAACGGAAGGCGUUCUUCUAAAUGAGACUGUCCCUCCCUGGGUGGUGGACAUCGUUGUGGAUAAAAAUCUACCGAAAUUUAUUAAAAUUCCCUUCUACCUUUUGCCACACUCCACCUCUGGGGUGAAGAGUUUGAAAAAGGAUCGCCUGAUUGCCAAUGACUUUAUACAGGUACGCAAAGUUGCCGAACACGUCUAUGAUAAGGUAUUGGGGGCUGGAAGUGAUUCAGGUUCAGUUACUGGUGCUGGAAAUACGGUAUCAGGUGGAUCUCCAGCUGGAGAUAGAACGAACGCUGACUCAAACACGGAUAACACAUCGUUGGCAGAAGAGAAAGUUGAGUUGCUCUGCAAUGACCAGGUUUUGGAUCCAUCUAUGGACUUGAGAACGGUGAGACAUUUCAUAUGGAAGAGUUCUGCCGAUUUAACACUCCAUUAUCGACCAAUCAAAUAGUUAAAACCUGGACCAGAGCCCUCGAAGACUUAUCGAUAUACAUUGCGACACUAUGGCAUUACGGCCAAUAAAACUCUGAUGCGUAGGUAUGGCGAUAGAAUUUUAAGCUGUCUGUCGUCACUAUUCAAGUUUUCACUACACACCUUGAUGAUAUUACUAGAUAUUACCAUUACUAGAUAUUGGGACAACGAAACAAUUCUUGUCAAUGGAAGUACGCUACAUAUUAAAACUCUGACAUCUGCAGAAGCACACAGAAAUUGGGAAAUUUACUAAGUUCAGUUUAAUUAAUUCAUUGAGAUACGUAAUGGAUGUUUAAAACUUGAGAUCAACUUCAAACUUCGAGUGGGCAGUGACUGUUUGGAAAUGAAAUUAGAUAAGGCCAAGGUUGGGAUGUUCGAUGACCACUUGAGUAGAUAAUUUCAUAGUCGACUAUUCCAUUGUAUUCGUUAAGUAUGAAUGGGCUUCACCAUCUGAAUCACAAGUUGGUAAAAAGAAGAAACGUUAAAAAAAAAUUCAGCUAUAUUAUAUGCGCCAAUGAAGACGAAUGAAACAACGUCUCUAUGAUGCAAUGAAAAUGAAUCUAAACAAAUUCGAAUAACAUAAGCUAUCAACAAAGUGAGAAAAUUUUUUGUAAUUAAAACGUUCAGAAUGAUUGAACUGGUGUUUUUUUUUUAUCGUAUUCUAAUGUUUUUGAGAUUAUUUUAUUUAUCGGAUCGCCUGAAAAACAUUUCACAAAUAAUUAUGUCUGGAGUUGAUGAAAACAGAUUUGUGUAAGUAUUGCAUUACAGAUGUUCAUGAACAGUUACGUUUGUCCAUCAUACCUACACUAUAACGUAAGAUUUCCGGAAUGGUUUUGCAAUAAUCCGUGAGGAUUCGAGAAUGAGGAGGUCAGCGAGCAACACGAACCUGAAGACACUAGAAUCGGAUAAAAAAUACCGGAGUUUAAUCAUAUUCAACGUUUCAAUUAUAAAACCAUUUUUCAAAUGGUUUAUAUUCUAGCUUGUAUUAUUUGCAUUUGCUCAAAUUUAUUUCUUUCAGAUCUUAGGAUUAUAUUUUUAUUCGUGGUUACUAUCAAUGGUGCUAAUAACAUUGAUGGAGAUUCGUUGUACCGUCUUUUUUUUAUUUUUAACUUUUGACUUGGACCUUAUUCAUCUGCAGAAAUUACGGGUAGCUGAAAAGUACAUCGGAUGAAUGUAGUGCUAGAUUUUGUUAAUUUCAUAAUUCUAACUAGAAUGAAUCUGUAUAGAGUGUUAAUAAAAUAUUUUCGAAUGCAUCAGUUUCACUUGCGAUGAAUGUAUUGACAAGAUUCUUAAAAAUUCAUACAUUCAAACUAGUUUAAUGACGAUGAUACCGAUAAUGUAAUAUCUUAUUAUGUUCACGUAAGUCGUACCAUUCACGAAAAAUUCACAUGUCAUUUGUAAAUAGUCUUUCCUGUCUAUGUACAUGUGAGUAUAUAAUUGUAACAAUGAAAAUUUUCGAAAGAAACAUUUUGUAAGCUAGCGGGCAUGAAACAUUUUCAUUAGUUUAAAAAUAUUGUCUAUCACUUGAAGAUUUGCUUUGCAAUCAGUUUCAGGUAACUCAUCAUCGCCGUGCGCCACCUUUGUCAUCUCAUUUAGCCAAAAAGUUUUUGCCUUUUUAGUGAUCUUUGCCAAAUGUAACAUAUAGGAUAUGUAAAAUUGAAUAAUCCUUAAAACGAGUAAUUGUGGUGCUUUUUUCAUGUAAGCCAAAAUCUCUCUUGUCUAUUAGGCGGUUUCACUAACAACUGCAGUCUAAACAGACAAAAUAAAACCUUAUGAAGCCGAGAAAUAAAUACAUGUCAAUUUAUAAUCAAUCAAACUGUAUCUAAGCAGCCAAAGUAAUGUUAAACAUUCGCCAAAUAGUUUUACGAAAUGAUGGGUCACACACACUAAUUAGUCUAUGGUUAUGUUUGUCUAUACUGUGUUUCAAUUUUUUAAAGAAGUACUGUUAUUGCAUUUACUGUUGAAGAAAAAUUUACAAUCAAGGAGAUGCUACAUUUGAGUAAAUAACCAUGAUUGCAGGUUUUCGGAUGUCGAUUGGACGGAGUAUCAAAUUAAAUUUCCCUCGACCACUCGAUAUUUUAGAUGUUGUAUAAUGGCGCUGGUGUUGAAAGGACGUCUGUUUUCAACUACCUUACCCAUAGAGCAACCAAGUUUCUCCAACGUUGAUGGAUUUCUGUAGCAAGUCCCAUUUCAUGAAUUGUAGAUUGUUGAAUGCCUGAAAGACAUAGUAGAUUAUGCACCAAGAGAAUAAUCAGCUUUAUUCCCGUGUUGAAAAUAGGAUUUUAUUUCCAACUUAACUGUGACCAAAUUAUAGUAGAUCAAUAGUGUUUACUCCAUUAGUGUUGGUAGAUUUUAUUGACUCCGUUCAAGCGUAAUCAGGAAAUGUACGAGUAAGGCAUUUUCUCGAUGAGAAGAAAAAAAUUCAACUACGUUGUAUUUCUCAUUGGGAAAGUCAUUCUACACUCAUAGUGACAUUAUUAAUUAUUUAGCAUCCUUUGACAAACAUAGCACUCAAACUUUGUUCAAAUCUUAAUUCAAAGACUAUUUUGCUCUGCUACUUGUUUGAAUGGGAUGAUUUUUUUAUGGAGAUUAAAGGAAACCUCCGUUGAAACUAAUAGAAGUCAUCAUUACCGCACGUUAAUUGUAAGGAAGUUAUGCCGAUGAGAAAAAUAACAGAAAGUGCAGCUUUUCCUUGAACAUUUAUUAUCUUACGUAUUAAAAAAAAAAACUCUUAGAAAUCGAAAAUAUUACAUAUUUCGCGACGUUAAAGUUAUUGCACCUUGUUAUUAGUUAUAUGAUUUUUCAGAUCCAUUUAGAACAUAAGAAAUUCAUAUUUGUAAAUAUUGUAGGCUGUAGAUUGAUAUUGUCCAAUAAAUAAGAAUCUACAGAU